AGCGAACGCUGGCGGCAUGCCUAACACAUGCAAGUCGCACGGGGGGGCUUCGGCCUCCCAGUGGCGGACGGGUGAGGAACGCGUAGGGACCUGUCGAGGGGUGGGGGAUAACCGCGGGAAACUGCGGCUAAUACCGCAUGACGCCGCGGCGUGACAGCCGGGGCCAAAGGCGAGAGCCGCCCGCCGAGGGGGCUUCGGCCGAUUAGCUGGUUGGCGGGGUAGCGGCCCACCAAGGCGUCGAUCGGUAGCUGGGCUGAGAGGGUGACCAGCCACACCGGGACUGAGACACGGCCCCGACUCCUACGAGAGGCAGCAGUUGGGAAUAUUGCACAAUGGGCGCAAGCCUGCGCCAGCAACGCCGCGUGGGUGAAGAAGGUCUUCGGAGUGUAAAGCCCCGUCGGCGGGGACGAUGGUGACGGUACCCGCAGAAGAAGCCCCGGCUAACUUCGUG
rnacentral:rRNA from 1 species